GCCUAAUACUGCUAAGUCGAGCGAACGKAUAAGGAGCUUGCUCCUUUGAAGUUAGCGGCGGACGGGUGAGUAACACGUGGGUAACCUACCUAUAAGACUGGGAUAACUUCGGGAAACCGGAGCUAAUACCGGAUAACAUUUAGAACCGCAUGGUUCUAAAGUGAAAGAUGGUUUUGCUAUCACUUAUAGAUGGACCCGCGCCGUAUUAGCUAGUUGGUAAGGUAACGGCUUACCAAGGCGACGAUACGUAGCCGACCUGAGAGGGUGAUCGGCCACACUGGAACUGAGACACGGUCCAGACUCCUACGGGAGGCAGCAGUAGGGAAUCUUCCGCAAUGGGCGAAAGCCUGACGGAGCAACGCCGCGUGAGUGAUGAAGGGUUUCGGCUCGUAAAACUCUGUUAUUAGGGAAGAACAAAUGUGUAAGUAACUGUGCACAUCUUGACGGUACCUAAUCAGAAAGCCACGGCUAACUACGUGCCAGCAGCCGCGGUAAUACGUAGGUGGCAAGCGUUAUCCGGAAUUAUUGGGCGUAAAGCGCGCGUAGGCGGUUUCUUAAGUCUGAUGUGAAAGCCCACGGCUCAACCGUGGAGGGUCAUUGGAAACUGGGAAACUUGAGUGCAGAAGAGGAAAGUGGAAUUCCAUGUGUAGCGGUGAAAUGCGCAGAGAUAUGGAGGAACACCAGUGGCGAAGGCGACUUUCUGGUCUGUAACUGACGCUGAUGUGCGAAAGCGUGGGGAUCAAACAGGAUUAGAUACCCUGGUAGUCCACGCCGUAAACGAUGAGUGCUAAGUGUUAGGGGGUUUCCGCCCCUUAGUGCUGCAGCUAACGCAUUAAGCACUCCGCCUGGGGAGUACGACCGCAAGGUUGAAACUCAAAGGAAUUGACGGGGACCCGCACAAGCGGUGGAGCAUGUGGGUUUAAUUCGAAGCAA
rnacentral:rRNA from 1 species